AUAUGUGAACUCGGCAUAAGCAAAGCAGAGCAGAAGCGAAUAACCAACAAAACCUUCAAAAACCUCAACGUCAAACAUACAGCGAGGCAACCAAGCAGCAAAAAUGAAUAGUAAAGAGUAUUUAAUAUUUAGCACUAGCACACAAUAUAAUCACAUCGUUCAAGAUAAAUUCAAAAUGAACUAUAAAAUUGGAAUGAAAAUGAAGAUGAACCAAGGAUGUAAAAGGUAAAGUAAAGAUGCCAGACAACAGAUAGCAAAUGCCAGCAAGGAGAAGAAGUAAAACAUAAAAUGCUGAUAAUUAUUGUCAGUAAAAGGUAAAGUAUAGUAUAAAGUAUAAUCAGAAACAGCGGAUUCUGAUGUGAAGUAGGCACACGUAUCACCACAAAAUGAAGAAACAAGAUCACCACAAAGAGAGGGUGACUGAAGGAAAAUUACAAAUAAUAAGAAGGGAACCGAGGGAACCAGCGAAGCUGAGAAUCCGUCCUGAGAGGCCUAGAUAACCAAGAUAAUGUGAAUUAAAGUCAAUUAAGAUUAUUUAAACUACUAGACUGUGCCACGUGUAACCAAGCAACCCUGCAAUGAACAGACGUACUUGGAAGACGAUCAACAUAAAAUUGAGCAGGCCUAUUGGUGACGCUAAUGCCAAACAUCAAAUACAAAUACAAUACAUAAUACAUUCUUGUCACAUUAAUUCAUGGGAAAAGUAUCAUAUCUUCAAAGAAGAGAAGAUCAGCUGGGAGUAAAAGCAGGAAAGAAGAAAAUAAAAUAGAUGAAGAGGAAAUGCAUUUAUGCACGCGCGGGAUGCCC